AAAUUGAAGAGUUUGAUCAUGGCUCAGAUUGAACGCUGGCGGCAGGCCUAACACAUGCAAGUCGAACGGUAACAGGAAGCAGCUUGCUGCUUCGCUGAUGAGUGGCGGACGGGUGAGUAAUGUCUGGGAAACUGCCUGAUGGAGGGGGAUAACUACUGGAAACGGUAGCUAAUACCGCAUAACGUCGCAAGACCAAAGAGGGGGACCUUCGGGCCUCUUGCCAUCG
rnacentral:rRNA from 1 species